GCUGGGAGUGGUGGUAUGCCUAUAGUCUCAGCUAUUUGCGAGGCUGAAGUGGAAGCAUCAUUUGAGACCAGGAGUAUUGGGUUGUAGAGCACUAUGCCUAUUGGGGUUCUCCACUAAGUUUGGCAUCUAUAUUGUGAUCUCCUCUGAGUGGGGACCAUCAGAUUCCCUAAAAGGAGUAAACCAAACCUGGUCAGAAACAAAGCAAGUCAAAAUUCCCAUGCCGAUCAGUAAUGGGCUUUCACCUGUGAAUAGUUACUGCACUCCAGCAUGGGCAACAUAACAAGAUCAUUUUA
ensembl:misc_RNA Metazoa_SRP Metazoan signal recognition particle RNA